GUGCUUUGUCCUCAUUCACACGGU
rnacentral:siRNA from 1 species